CAUAAACUAGGGCCGCGGGCCGGUGCCCCGGUCUUCAGCCACCAGUGUGCAGGAGCAGCAGCAGUGGCAAGAGUUGAGCCCAGUCCAGCAAGCUAACGCUACAUGGCGCUAGCUGGCAGCGUCGUGCAGCUUUCAGAGUGCCAAAUCAAGACGCCGCACUCAACCGACUUCCCGCUCGAAGGAACCGUGUCUUUGGAAAGAGGGCCACCAUCGCGGCUCAGCCGUCUGCCAGAGACGAAGAGCUAUUUAAGGAGCUGGAUGGCUGACCUACAGAGGGUUUGGGGAAGGAAAGCGUUGGGGACAGGCAGCAAUUGGUGUCAAAGAGGGGCCAAACGGCGAUGAUUUAUAGCCGGGAAGAGUUGACUGAGCGAGAAGCGGAUCGGGCUGCC
ensembl:lncRNA